rnacentral:rRNA from 1 species
AUUGAACGCUGGCGGCAUGCUUUACACAUGCAAGUCGAACGGCAGCACGGACUUCGGUCUGGUGGCGAGUGGCGAACGGGUGAGUAAUACAUCGGAACGUACCCAGUGAUGGGGGAUAACUAUCCGAAAGGAUAGCUAAUACCGCAUACGCCCUACGGGGGAAGGAGGGGGAUCGCAAGACCUCUUGUUAUUGGAGCGGCCGAUGGCUGAUUAGCUAGUUGGUGAGGUAAAGGCUCACCAAGGCGACGAUCAGUAGCGGGUCUUAGAGGACGAUCCGCCACACUGGAACUGAGACACGGUCCAGACUCCUACGGGAGGCAGCAGUGGGGAAUCUUGGACAAUGGGCGCAAGCCUGAUCCAGCAAUGCCGCGUGCGUGAAGAAGGCCUUCGGGUUGUAAAGCGCUUUUGUCAGGGAGCAAAUCCUUGUGGCUAAUACCCACCGGGGAUGAGAGUACCUGAAGAAUAAGGACCGGCUAACUCUGUGCCAGCCGCCGCCGUAACAC